GGCAAGGAAGAGAGGGACAAUGAAGUGCUGACCAAGGUGGAGCUGAAAGAGCUCUGGGAGCAACUCAAUCACCAGGGUUUCGACAACCGUCACCAAACAUGCAUCGACAUGGUUGACAAAAUGCUGAGGGAAGAAUCACAUCCGAGGAUGUUAAGGAGGUUAGUCACAAGAAACCAUACUGAAAAUAUAGUCUUAGUGUGUAAAUGUGAAGCAUAUAUUUUGCUUUUAAUUAAGCAAAUGAUGACACACUUCGCCAGCAAACAAACUUUCAAAAAUCAAGGAGCGAGCGUAUGAGUACACAGUCCUCGUCAGCAAGAAUUUGACCCUAACGAUUUGGGCUACAUAGAGGUAUGUGUAUGUCCAAGCGAAGCCUCGCCAUCUCGACAGGCGAUGUCUCACCAAAGUCAAGGCAAAAGCAUCGGAUACCAACCAGCGUGGUGACUGUGUAGUUCCUCUUGCCUUCCACAAGCCGGCGUGCAUGUA